AGCACUUUGUGUGUGUGUGUUUGUUCAACUGGUAGACAAAGGCAGGAAAGACGAAGUGCAAAAAUAAAUCCUCUUUUGCAACCCAGAACUCACUGUUCAUUAUGAGUCUUGAUACAUACAAGCAGGAACAUA
ensembl:snoRNA